rnacentral:rRNA from 1 species
UACGUAGGUGGCAAGCGUUGUCCGGAUUUACUGGGCGUAAAGAGCGCGCAGGCGGUCGUUCAAGUCGCGUGUGAAAGCCCCCGGCUCAACUGGGGAGGGUCACGCGAUACUGAUCGACUCGAAGGCAGGAGAGGGAAGUGGAAUUCCCGGUGUAGUGGUGAAAUGCGUAGAUAUCGGGAGGAACACCAGUGGCGAAGGCGACUGCCUGGCCUGUUCUUGACGCUGAGGCGCGAAAGCUAGGGGAGCAAACGGG